GAUUAUGGCUCAGAUUGAACGCUGGCGGCGUGCUAACACAUGCAAGUCGCGCGUGAAAGGACUUCGGUCCGAGUAAAGCGGCGCACGGGUGAGUAACGCGUGGAUGAUCUACCCAUGAGUUGGGAAUAACGGCUGGAAACGUCGCUAAUACCGAAUACGCUCCGAUUUUCAUCUUCGGGGGAAAGGUGGCCUCUGCUUGCAAGCUACUGCUCAUGGAUGAGUCCGCGUCCCAUUAGCUAGUUGGUGGGGUAACGGCCCACCAAGGCGACGAUGGGUAGCCGGUCUGAGAGGAUGACCGGCCACACUGGGACUGGAACACGGCCCAGACUCCUACGGGAGGCAGCAGUGGGGAAUAUUGCGCAAUGGGCGAAAGCCUGACGCAGCGACGCCGCGUGAGGGGAAUGAAGGUCCUCGGAUCGUAAACCUCUGUCAGGAGGGAAGAACCGCCACGGUGCUAAUCAGCCGUGGUCUGACGGUACCUCCAAAGGAAGCACCGGCUAACUCCGUGCCAGCAGCAGC
rnacentral:rRNA from 1 species